CGACAAGUCGGAGGAAGUGGGAUGACGUCAAAUCAUCAUGCCCCUUAUGACCUGGGCUACACACGUGCUACAAUGGGCGGUACAAAGGGCUGCGAACCCGCGAGGGGGAGCGAAUCCCAAAAAGCCGCUCUCAGUUCGGAUUGCAGGCUGCAACUCGCCUGCAUGAAGCCGGAAUCGCUAGUAAUCGCGGAUCAGCAUGCCGCGGUGAAUACGUUCCCGGGCCUU
rnacentral:rRNA from 1 species